rnacentral:rRNA from 1 species
AGUGAACGCUGGCGGUAGGCCUAACACAUGCAAGUCGAACGGCAGCACAGUAAGAUCUUGCUCUUACGGGUGGCGAGUGGCGGACGGGUGAGGAAUACAUCGGAAUCUACUUUUUCGUGGGGGAUAACGUAGGGAAACUUACGCUAAUACCGCAUACGACCUACGGGUGUAAGCAUGGGAUCUUCGGUCCUUGCGCGACUGAAUGAGCCGAUGUCGGAUCAGCUAGUUGGCGGGGUAAAGGCCCACCAAGGCGACGAUCCGUAGUUGGUUUGAGAGGAUGAUCAGCCACACUGGAACUGAGACACGGUCCAGACUCGUACGGGAGGCAGCAGUGGGGAAUAUUGGACAAUGGGCGCAAGCCUGAUCCAGCCAUACCGCGUGGGUGAAGAAGGCCUUCGGGUUGUAAAGCCCUUUUGUUGGGAAAGAAAAGCAGCAGGUUAAUACCCCGCUGUUCUGACGGUACCCAAAGAAUAAGCACCGGCUAACUUCGUG